GCGACAAGAGCGAGACUUCAUCUCAAAAGAAAAAAAAUACGUUUAUGAAAUAUCUACCUCCUGGAUACCGGGUUACCCUUAAGUGCCAUAAGAUAUUUGGAAGACUGUGACCUGGUCCCUCUAGUUAAGUACUUCUUCCUUCAUUUUUUGGCAUGGGAAAUAACUGGUAGCUGUUCAUCUGCACUGUCAGCUGAGCCACUUUAGGUCGCCAUUUAUUGUUUAUUUUUC
rnacentral:lncRNA from 10 species